GAUGAACGCUGGCGGCGGGCCUAAUACAUGCAAGUCGAGCGAACGGACGAGAAGCUUGCUUCUCUGAUGUUAGCGGCGGACGGGUGAGUAACACGUGGAUAACCUACCUAUAAGACUGGGAUAACUUCGGGAAACCGGAGCUAAUACAGGAUAAUAUUUUGAACCGCAUGGUUCAAAAGUGAAAGACGGUCUUGCUGUCACUUAUAGAUGGAUCCGCGCUGCAUUAGCUAGUUGGUAAGGUAACGGCUUACCAAGGCAACGAUGCAUAGCCGACCUGAGAGGGUGAUCGGCCACACUGGAACUGAGACACGGUCCAGACUCCUACGGGAGGCAGCAGUAGGGAAUCUUCCGCAAUGGGCGAAAGCCUGACGGAGCAACGCCGCGUGAGUGAUGAAGGUCUUCGGAUCGUAAAACUCUGUUAUUAGGGAAGAACAUAUGUGUAAGUAACUGUGCACAUCUUGACGGUACCUAAUCAGAAAGCCACGGCUAACUACGUG
rnacentral:rRNA from 1 species